UGUAUAUGUUUCAUACUUAAUAUCAACAUGAUUUGAAAUGCCAGUUCAUAGAUGACGGCUUAUAUUUGACAGGCAUUUAAAAUACCUCAGGCAUUUUUUGUUUACACAAUCAUUUGUGUAAUGACUGGCUUAAGAAUUUGUAGACUUUGAUGAUUACAUUUUUCAAAGGGUUUUCUGACUGAAAACCAGUUAUUGAUUUGGGAUUGUACAGUGUUUGAGCGGGCAGCUCCAGCUGUUUAACCUCUCAGCUAUUGCUUUUCUAAUUUUAAUAUAAUGUUGUUUUGCUUACAUUGAAUUGAUUAUUCAUUGUUAUUUAAAAAAAAAUUUAAAUUGUGCAAUCUACCAUUUAAGUAUACAAAUAAAGAUUUACCAACAGUCUUUUUGUCCUGCUUGUACCCUUGCUCUGAUAAGGAGCUGAUGACAAUGGAAAAAAUACUGCAUACAUUAUAGUUCAUUUUUCUACUCUUUUUUCAAAGUAUUUACCAACAAAGUUUUUAAAUUCAGUUUUUAUAGAAGUACUGCAUAUUUAAGUGGCUAAAUGAAAUUGCACAACAGAGAUAAAAUAUCUACACCAUUCAAAGAUUGAACAAAAAAUAUCUAUACAUUUACUUGCUAAAAACAAGAAAGAAAACUUGUAAAAUGCUAUUACCAAAGAGGGUACAAAUUGCAUAUGGAUGAAUAUAUGAAUAAAGGGGAUAAAGACAGCAACUGAGCAACACAAUUAAACAAAAAUUAUUUUAAAGGUCAACUGUAUUCAACAAUUAACUGAAGUAUCUAUAUCAUAUGUCAAUCUUUGAAUUGCCAUGGGUGUAGACAAGUGAAGAAGAAAUUUAACAGAGACGCGAUAAGAUUUAAAAUCAAGAUUCUCAUUAUUGAAAGAAUCAAACUUGGUAAUAAGACAACAACUAAAGAGGUUCUAAAAUUGGGACAAAUUCAUUAACAUGUUUUUGAUUGCUCAACCCUAAUUAAUAUAUUUUUUGAGUAUUUAAUUGAUAAAUACACACUUGGUUAGUUUAAAUUUUUGUUAGGUUUAUCUUUUGUGAUUUUAUAAGGAAAAUGAAAAAAGGAAUAGGAAAUCCAGUAGAACUGUUUAGAGGUAAAGCCUUUUGGUCAUAAAGCUUAACUCAGUACUCGGAGUACAACAUUUGUGUUUAAAACACCAAAUCCAGUAUUUUGAUUGGUUUAUUUCUGUGUCUAAUUACAAUAAUCAUACUCAAAAUUUUGAUGACUAACCAAAGAUCUAAUCAAAUGAAAUAUUGUUGUUGUCUCUCAGACUUAUCCUUAAAAUGUCAGGAUUUUUGCUAUAGAUGUACAUGUUCUAAUCUUGGGCAAAUCAUUAGACAGCAGUAUUUUUUGACGAUCUUAAUUAUUUUUGAAAAAGUACAAUAUUUAUUUUAUAUUUUCAGUUGUAUUAUGUUUUGAUGUUUUAAAAUACAUUCGAAUGGGUGUAAGUGUAGAAUAAAACAUUGCAUUAAAUUUGUGCAUGUUAUUAUAGUUCUUAUUGCUCACCUAUAAGCAAUUAUUUACUUUUUAAAAGCAACAAAAAAUUAUUUUUCAAAUGUUUUCAAUUUGCAAAAUUAAAAGUUGAAUCUAUGUUCUUUAAAAUAUUUGAAAUAAUUAACUUUUGAUGAGUUAUACCGUCUCCAAAUGACAGUUUUACAUUGAAAUAAUAAUAAAUUCAGAUUCAUGGAUAAAUUACCAACAAUCUUCAGUUUUCCUUAAACAUGUUGAGAAAUAAUAUAUCCUCUCCUUAAAAGAUAUUUUCUGAAGGAAGUGUAUUCUGUUCGUAUCUAUUUACUGGCAAAAAAAGAACUCUUCUAAAAUUUACCUUAUUUUGCACAAACUUCAUUAUGAUUUCACAGGUAAAUUGUAAAUCAUCACCUCAAUUUUAAUAUGUACAUUAUCUGAAAGGUUUUAUCCUGAAGUUUAAGAAAAAUUGUGAAUUAUAACGAUGUCAUACAAUUUUUUAUAUUAUUUAGUAGAUAUACAGGGCCAAAUAAACCCCAAAAUGUAUCUCUCCUUUGAAUUUGUUGCUGGUAAAAAGUUAAUUAUGGCUUCUAGGUGAGCAAUACAGCCUCUUGUUGCUCAUUGACAUUUAUAACAUGUUCGUCUAUUUGUGCAAUUAUGUACCUUGACAGUUCAAAUGAGAUAGUACACACAUAAUUACAGAAUAAUAUUAUACAAGUUUGACUGUCAAAUAUAUUCAUUGUGAGUUCACUCUCAAUAGUACUACUAUGUCAUUUUGUUAUAUCAAUUAAAUUUGCCCUAACCCUCACUUUUUAACAUAUAAUAAUAUAUAAACGUGGUCUAAUUUUUAAGUCUUAUGUAAACAAUAUUCAUUCUAUUUCUGAUUUAUAUCUAUAAAUGUAUAUGUAGAAACCAUGUUAUUUGUGUGCAGCUCUAUAACUGUUAUUUCUGCCAGAAGUUGUUUAUAUUUAUGGUUUGUUUGUUGCUUUAUUUGUAUUGUUAAUAUUCUUGGCAAAUAUUGUGUAUAUUAAUUAAUUGUUAUAUGAUUAAAUGAUUGGUUUAGUUA